GUGGACUCAAAUGGAAGAAAGAAUUGAAAUUCACAUACUAAUACCUAAUGCUGCAGCUAUGCCACGGCAUAGGACCAAUGAAUUGGGUUUGGGAAUUCUAAAAAUUUGGAUGCCAAAAUCAGCUUUGUUGGGCUUCAGAACACGUCUUAACCCAAUUCUGGAGAUGAACAACAAACCAGAAGGUCCAGCAGAAGCCUAAACCAUAUGCCUAAGGAGAAAAUAACAAAAAUUCAAAAGAUGAGGGACCUAGUCUUCAACUUCUUCAACCACAUGGAGUGAAUCAAGAAAGCACUUACCAGCCUUGAAAUAAUUAAGGAAACCGCAACGUACAUGGAGAAAAUCAUGCAAACAACCACCAACUUUGAGAAAAUAAAAAGACUCCCUCCCUUCAAUAUAACAACUCAUUUUUCAGCUAUACCAGAAACGG
rnacentral:lncRNA from 1 species